GACGAACGCUGGCGGCGUGCUUAACACAUGCAAGUCACGGGGGUCCCGCAAGGGAUAACCGGCGAACGGGUGCGUAACACGUGAGCGACCUGCCAUACCCGCGGGGGAUAGCCGGCCCAACGGCCGGGUAAUACCGCAUACGCUCCUCGGCUCGCAUGGGCUGGGGAGGAAACUUCCGGGGCGGGAUGAGGGGCUCGCGGCCUAUCAGCUAGUUGGCGGGGUAACGGCCCACCAAGGCGUCGACGGGUAGCNGGUCUGAGAGGAUGGCCAGCCACAUUGGGACUGAGAGACGGCCCAGACUCCUACGGGAGGCAGCAGGUGGGGAAUAUUGCGCAAUGGCCGCAAGGCUGACGCAGCGACGCCGCGUGUGGGAGGACGCCCCUC
rnacentral:rRNA from 1 species